AGUGAACGCUGGCGGUAGGCCUAACACAUGCAAGUCGAACGGCAGCACAGUAAGAGCUUGCUCUUACGGGUGGCGAGUGGCGGACGGGUGAGGAAUACAUCGGAAUCUACUUUUUCGUGGGUGAUAACGUAGGGAAACUUACGCUAAUACCGCAUACGACCUACGGGUGAAAGCAGGGGAUCUUCGGACCUUGCGCGAUUGAAUGAGCCGAUGUCGGAUUAGCUAGUUGGCGGGGUAAAGGCCCACCAAGGCGACGAUCCGUAGCUGGUCUGAGAGGGUGAUCAGGCACAAUGGAAAUGAGAAACGGUCCAGAAUCCUACGGGAGGGAGCAGUGGGGAAUAUUGGACAAUGGGGGGAAGCCUGAUCCAGCCAUGCCGCGUGUGUGAAGAAGGGCUUCGGAGUGUAAAGCCCUUUUUGUUGGGAAAAAAAGAAGGAAGGUAAUAACCCGCUGUUUUGAAGUGACCCAAAGAAAAAGCACCGGCUAAAUUCGUG
rnacentral:rRNA from 1 species